CUGUCUGGUCUGUAACUGACGCUGAGCUCGAAAGUAUGGGUAGCAAACAGGAUUAGAUACCUGGUAGUCCAUACCGUAAACGAUGAAUGCUAAGUGUUGGAGGGUUUCCCCUUUCAGUGCUGCAGCUAACGCAUUAAGCAUUCCGCUGGGGAGUACGGCCGCAAGGCUGAAACUCAAAGGAAUUGACGGGGGCCCGCACAAGCGGUGGAGCAUGCGUUAAUUCGAAGCUACGCGAAGAACCUUACCAGGUCUUGACAUACUAUGCAAAUCUAAGAGAUUAGACGUUCCCUUCGGGGACAUGGAUACAGGUGGUGCAUGGUUGUCGUCAGCUCGUGUCGUGAGAUGUUGGGUUAAGUCCCGCAACGAGCGCAACCCUUAUUAUCAGUUGCCAGCAUUAAGUUGGGCACUCUGGUGAGACUGCCGGUGACAAACCGGAGGAAGGUGGGGAUGACGUCAAAUCAUCAUGCCCCUUAUGACCUGGGCUACACACGUGCUACAAUGGAUGGUACAACGAGUUGCGAACUCGCGAGAGUAAGCUAAUCUCUUAAAGCCAUUCUCAGUUCGGAUUGUAGGCUGCAACUCGCCUACAUGAAGUCGGAAUCGCUAGUAAUCGCGGAUCAGCAUGCCGCGGUGAAUACGUUCCCGGGCCUUGUACACACCGCCCGUCACACCAUGAGGGUUUGUAACACCCAAAGUCGGUGGGGUAACCUUUAGGAACCAGCCGCCUAAGGUGGGACAGAUGAUUAGGGUGAAGUCGUAACAAGGUAACCA
rnacentral:rRNA from 1 species